rnacentral:lncRNA from 1 species
GAAAUACCAAUUAGCCGUCAUCUCCUGCUUUUUGCCAGACAAAUAGCUUGCAAAGCUAAGAAAGAAACCCUCCAAAGACGCCACAAUCAUUGCCCUGUUCCAUCAGAAUUUAAUGUGUACACAAUGUAAAUCACAUUCAGCUUCUCUUUCGUCGAGGAACCGUGCUCCGAUGACUACCUUAUCAGUCAUUGCCAGAGGCAAAGAAAUCCCGUUUACGGGGUGAGGAGUUGCCGCUGGAAGCCAUGGUGGGUUUUUGUGUCGGGACUUGUUGGGCAAAAAUAGUUUGGAAACAUAAUAUGGUCGGAAAAAAUAGAAAGAGGUAGAAGGCAUUUUCUUGAAACGCAGUAGUCGCCAUAGAUGUUUUUAAAUCAAAGUCUGUGUAAAAGUAAUGGCUUUCCCUUUGUGUUUUUCUUCUUCCUGGAGUUGGGUUUAUCUUUCAUUUGUAUUGAAUCAAAUAAAAUAUUUUCCCUUCCUUUGUUUUCUUGUCUGCCACUAACUGAAGAAAAUGGUGGCUUUUUCUUGUGGUUGUUUGCACAUUUAUUUACUGCUGGGUUUCUGCAAGAAAGGUCUCAAUAUCGUUGACAACAAGUGGAGAAUAUAUAGAAUCUUUUUGUUAUUUGCCAAUCUGAUUUUUUGCCAGAGAACUCCAUUUCAAACCAACCAUUUCAUGGUGGAGUUUUUCACUCCUUCCUUAGGCAAGAAUUAUUUUCCAUAAUGGAUUUUUCAACCCGGGUUUCCUCAACCCUUUUGCCGAGAAUAGCUACUCUUUCAUAGUAACUUGGUGCUACCAUUUUUCAUGGCCGUUUUUUCCUUUCUUUUGGUGGUUGAUUCCUUCCAUUUUUGGUGAAGAAGUUGCUCGAAGAAAUUCCAUUUUUCAUGGAGAAAAAAUUCCUUUUUCAAGGAAAAUUUUCACAUCUCUGCAUGUCCUUCCAGUGGCUAUUUUCUUCUGUUCUUGGGUUGUUGUCUUCGCUCUUUUGGUAUAACACUGACCAGAAAUUUUUUCGGUGACCUUUUGGUAUGUGGUAUAACAUGGUUAAUGUAGCAUUUCCCACAGACGGCGCCAAUCUGUUGACCUCCAAAAAUGGCUCCAACAGACACCAUAGCUUCGUCCCCUCGAAACCUGCGCAUGUAGCACCCCGUCAAGAGGCAAAGGCGGCCGGACGAGGAAAAGGUCCGGCGACCGUUUGCACUCCGACGGUCAAGUCAACGGCCGGACGAAAA